GUAACCUUAAUCAUGACAAUGUUGUUAACGCAACUAUUCCAAGAUAUUUUUAAAUUAAAUGAAAUAGUAUCAAUAUUGAAAACAAUGUUGUUGAAAUUACCAUGUCAUAAGACUAUAAUACUGUGUACUUUCAACUUUGUUAUUAUAGUCAAAAGUUAUACUUCUUGAAGUCAAAUAGACUACAUGUGUAGUGAUAAGAAAAAAAAAUGUUCUCGAUUUUACCAUGGCCGUGGUAUAAAUUGCAACCUAGAAAAAGAUCUCAAGCUCAUCCCCAGUGAAGGACGCCAUUUUUGCUUAUCAGUUCUUUCGCAUGGUUAGGUGGAUAAUUUACUUGGUUAUUGAAAGCAAAAAAAAAUAAAUGAAGCAUUAAAGUAGCGACAGAUCAGAGAUACAUGAGGAUCAAGAGAUUGAUGCCCGUGAUAAAAUUCAUAGAAAAUUACUAUUGGGAAGUGGCUUCCCCAUGGUGUUCUAGCUCAAUUGCUGACACAUCAUGAAGAUCAAUUUGGUGUAUAAGGUAAGUUAGCAUGUUAGACAUGUUUUAAAACUCCAUCAAUAAUAUGGUUUUGUUUUCUAGAUAUUGGUGACUUUAUUUACUGUACCGUGGGCUGGCGCUAUACGUAUUUUUUACCGCAUGCUUGCACGCGCUGUUGUGCCACUAUUCAAUCCGAUUCCAUGAGCCGGAACUAUUCCACUGGAAAGGCUCAUCGGAUCAGUAUUCGUACGUCGGUAGCCUUAGCGAAUCUUCCACAAAAAAAGUUAGACGGUCAUCACAUCCAACGAGCCGGGCGUAGUCAGCUAAGCACCAAUCGCGCCAACUGUUAGUGGCUUCGGAAGAUCUUCGAGUUCUGGAACAGUUCGUUGAUCAACGCGUCACUACAUCUCCGUUGUAUAAAGUCUAAGAUAAGUUAAGUUAAUUCGAUUAGAUUCUAUUUCAUUCCGCACUUUUUUGUACUGUGAACCGGACCAAAAAGGUGUGUACAAAUUAUCAAAAACUUAAAAAUAUAAUUAUACAAAGUUUAUUUACUAAAAAAAUAUAUAUAUUAUUUAGUAUAGAUAUACGCAUUAUGUAUCAGAUAACAAAUUUUACAAAAUAUCGGACGAUCAUAAAGAUCAGUUCUAUAGGUAUUUUGUACAAAUUUGCAUAUCUGAAUGCAUUAUGCGUGAAUCGUUAUAAAGGAUUUAAUAAUUUUAGAUAAAUUUCAUUUUCAUUUUCAUUUUGCAGC